UACGUAGGGGGCUAGCGUUGCUCGGAAUCACUGGGCGUAAAGCGCACGUAGGCGGCUUCUAAGUCAGGGGUGAAAUCCUGGAGCUCAACUCCAGAACUGCCUUUGAUACUGGAGAGCUUGAGUCCGGAAGAGGUGAGUGGAACUCCGAGUGUAGAGGUGAAAUUCGUAGAUAUUCGGAAAGAACACCAGUGGCGAAGGCGGCUCACUGGUCCGGUACUGACGCUGAGGUGCGAAAGCGUGGGAGCA
rnacentral:rRNA from 1 species